CGGAAUAUAGCUCAGUGGUAGAGUGCAUGCCUAGCAUGCACAAGGUCCUAGGUUCAAUCCCCAGUACUGCCA
rnacentral:tRNA from 1 species